CGGGUGAGUAACGCGUGGAUAACCUGCCUCACACUGGGGGAUAACAGUUAGAAAUGACUGCUAAUACCGCAUAAGCGCACAGUACCGCAUGGUACAGUGUGAAAAACUCCGGUGGUGUGAGAUGGAUCCGUGUCUGAUUAGCCAGUUGGCGGGGUAACGGCCCACCAAAGCGACGAUCAGUAGCCGACCUGAGAGGGUGACCGGCCACAUUGGGACUGAGACACGGCCCAA
rnacentral:rRNA from 1 species